rnacentral:lncRNA from 1 species
GCAACAUCUAUUUUCUUACAGAAGGAAAGAGAGAAAGACAAGAAGGAAAGAGAGGAACAAAAGCGGAGAAUAGAUGAACUGGAGAACGAAAAGGAGGAACUAAAGUGCAUGAUAAAGGAUCUACUGGAAAAACUAGAGGAAGAAAAAAAGAAAAGAGAGGAAGAACAAAAGG